rnacentral:rRNA from 1 species
GAUGAACGCUGGCGGCGUGCUUAACACAUGCAAGUCGAACGAAGCAUUAUAUUAGAAGUUUUCGGAUGGAAGAUAUAAUGACUGAGUGGCGGACGGGUGAGUAACGCGUGGAUAACCUGCCUCAUACAGGGGGAUAACACUCAGAAAUGGGUGCUAAUACCGCAUAAGCGCACAGGACCGCAUGGUCUGGUCUGAAAAACUCCGGUGGUAUGAGAUGGAUCCGCGUCCGAUUAGCUAGUUGGUAAGGUAACGGCUUACCAAGGCGACGAUCAGUAGCCGGCCUGAGAGGGUGACCGGCCACAUUGGGACUGAGACACGGCCCAGACUCCUACGGGAGGCAGCAGUGGGGAAUAUUGGGCAAUGGGCGAAAGCCUGACCCAGCGACGCCGCGUGGAGGAAGAAGGUUUUCGGAUUGUAAACUCCUGUCUUCGGGGAAGAUAAUGACGGUACCCGAGGAGGAAGCCACGGCUAACUACGUGCCAGCAGCCGCGGUAAUAC